rnacentral:rRNA from 1 species
UCUGACGUUAGCGGCGGACGGGUGAGUAACACGUGGAUAACCUACCUAUAAGACUGGGAUAACUUCGGGAAACCGGAGCUAAUACCGGAUAAUAUAUUGAACCGCAUGGUUCAAUAGUGAAAGACGGUUUUGCUGUCACUUAUAGAUGGAUCCGCGCCGCAUUAGCUAGUUGGUAAGGUAACGGCUUACCAAGGCAACGAUGCGUAGCCGACCUGAGAGGGUGAUCGGCCACACUGGAACUGAGACACGGUCCAGACUCCUACGGGAGGCAGCAGUAGGGAAUCUUCCGCAAUGGGCGAAAGCCUGACGGAGCAACGCCGCGUGAGUGAUGAAGGUCUUCGGAUCGUAAAACUCUGUUAUUAGGGAAGAACAAAUGUGUAAGUAACUAUGCACGUCUUGACGGUACCUAAUCAGAAAGCCACGGCUAACUACGUGCCAGCAGCCGCGGUAAUACGUAGGUGGCAAGCGUUAUCCGGAAUUAUUGGGCGUAAAGCGCGCGUAGGCGGUUUUUUAAGUCUGAUGUGAAAGCCCACGGCUCAACCGUGGAGGGUCAUUGGAAACUGGAAAACUUGAGUGCAGAAGAGGAAAGUGGAAUUCCAUGUGUAGCGGUGAAAUGCGCAGAGAUAUGGAGGAACACCAGUGGCGAAGGCGACUUUCUGGUCUGUAACUGACGCUGAUGUGCGAAAGCGUGGGGAUCAAACAGGAUU